AUCACAGCCACUUUUACGCACAGUUACAAACAUCUUUGGGUCUCAGUAUGAUGAUAAACUCAUUGGAAAUGGAGAAAGGAACCUGAUAGAUGGGGGAGGAGGGCGAGAUCGUCUGAUUGGUGCUGAAGGAGAAGACAUUUACAUGGUGAAAGGCAGAAAACGUUCCUCUGUGCUCAUUGAAAAUUACUCCAGAGACGAGAAAACUGACCUGGCCAUCAUAGAAGCAAAUCUUCAUACGUUUCGAGUCAGAGUAGAAUGUGAUGAUGUUCAUCUGGUGGCUCAACAUGGCAGCACUCUUCUUCGUGUUACUGUAGUGAACUGGUUCAGGUCAUCAGCACACAGACACUUGCUGUUCAUCACAAAGGAUCUGAUCACCUUCACAGUGUCAGAUAACAAAGCUGACUGCCUGCAGAGGAACAUCUUCACCACAUGUAUAAAGAGCCUCAGCAUUGACUACAGCAGCUCCCCGUCUCCUCUGGAGGUGGACCUUGAGAAGGAUGAUGCUUUGGACAGCGUGACAGAGGUCCGCGGGUCAAACUAUAACGAUGUCAUCAAAGGAAACAAAGAACACAACGUUGUCGUCCCUGGAUUAGGAGAUGAUUUCAUUGAGGGGAGAGGAGGAGAGGACUGGUACGUUAUCACAGCAGGACAAGGAGUGAAAACCAUCAACAAUCUAUCACCAGAUCUAACCUUGGACCUGCUCUUCCUUAAAGAACAAUAUCAGCAUAUAACAUGUAGAUGUGAAGGUCAGAGCAUCAUCGUUCAGGUACACGGCAGAAGAACUGUUAUUUUACAGAACUGGUUUAAAUCAAAGAAUUAUCAGCACCUGCAGAUCAAGACCAGUGAUGGAGUAACAGCUGGACUGAAGCCCAGCAUCAGCAGCUGUGGAUGGGAUUUAAUGCUGCCUUUAACCAUCGACUACAGAAACCAGAGAUGUGAAACCUGUCUGGGGAAAUGGAUGAAACUCAGUGACUCAGUGAAAGAAAUGUACGGCUCCUCAGGAUUUGACGUCAUGGUUGGAAACAGCAAUGAUAAUUUACUGGAUCCACACACCGGGGGGGCACUGAUGAUAGGAGGGGAAGGCAAAGACACUUACAUAAUCAAACAUGUGGAUGAAAGCAUAAUCAUUGAUAACUUUGCAGAAGAUCAGAAAACUGACACUGUGCUGGUAGAUAUGGAUUUCCUUGAUGGAAGUCAAGUCAUACUGUACUCAACAAGAAAUAAUGUUCAUGUUAGAAUCAUGAAAAAAGAGGAAAUAUUAAAAUUCAUUCUUUUCAAUUACGGUAAUGAUGAAAAAUAUCAGCAUCUAGAAUUUCAGAGCUCUGAUGGCGUCCAUUUCAAACUCAAGUCUCUAAACUCAGCUGGAGACGACUCUUUCUAUCAGGUAGAAGCUUUCAAAGUGACUCUCACACAGUCUCCGGUGGACUGUCGUUUGGACCUCAGCGCUCAGAGAAAUCUGUCAGAGGUUCACACAGUGCAAGGCUGCCCCUCCCAGUCUAAUGUUAUAAUAGGCAACAACCGAGACAACGCUCUGAUUGGUGGGUGGAAGGACGACGCCUUGGAUGGAGGUGAUGGAGAUGACACGCUGGUAGGAGGAAAUGGAGCUGACAUCCUGAUUGGUGGGAGAGGAGACGACACUCUUUAUGGUGAAGAUGGAAAUGACACACUGAUGGGAAACUCUGGCCGGGACGUCUUCCUUCCUGGACCAGGAGCUGAUCUGGUGGACGGAGGUCCAGGCAGAGACUCUGUUCUCUAUCGGGGUGAUCAUGAGAAGGGUGAAGGGGUUUAUGUUAACCUGCUGACGGGCCAAGGCCACCAUGCUGACGCUGAGGGCGACGUGUUGAAGGAUGUGGAAACUGUGAUCGGCACCAUCUAUUCGGACAUCUUAGUGUCUGGUUAUGAAAGUUCUCUUCUCAAAGGCUCAGAUGGUAACGACAUCUUGGUGUCCACUGGUGGAGAUUAUCUGGUUGGAGGUGAUGGAAAUGACAUUUACAUGUUCACUUUCAGCAACGGCUCAGUCACCAUAGACAACUGUGCGACAGACAACGCCACAGAUGUCUUGUAUUUAGCGUCCCAGUCAACGCUGGCAUGUGACUAUCAGGUUUCAUCUGAGAAAGUUAUUCUGACUUUUUAUGGAACCAACCAAGAAGCUAUGAAGAUUUCUCUAAGGGGCUGGAUCAGUGACAACAAUGAGUGUGGGCACCUGAAGCUGGUUCUGAGAGAAACUAAUGUUUCAGUGGAUCAACUGCUCCAAGAAUGUCAGUCACGAUGAGUAAACGGUGCUUUGCUUGUCAGUCAUCUGCUGAAAAAUCUGGUGGUGUUUUAAUAAAAAAAAUGUAAAUCAAUGCAUUUUAGUGUAAAAAUGCUACAAAGUGUUUUACAUGCUAAAGUUUCCUGAAACUGUGCAAAACGACUUAAACAUUUUUGUAUGGUUCUUUAAUUAUGCUAAGCCUGAAAUCAGCCUUCAGAAGACAAAAAGAAGAUGUUGAAAUGGCACAAAUAAAUUGUAAACCUUU
ensembl:lncRNA